rnacentral:rRNA from 1 species
UGCAGUCGAGCGGAAACGACCUAGCUUGCUAGGGGCGUCGAGCGGCGGACGGGUGAGUAACGCGUAGGAAUCUGCCCAGUAGAGGGGGAUAGCCCGGGGAAACCCGGAUUAAUACCGCAUACGCCCUAAGGGGGAAAGCAGGGGCCCCGUUUCUUUUACGAGAGGCGGACCUUGCGCUAUUGGAUGAGCCUGCGUUGGAUUAGCUAGUUGGCGGGGUAAUGGCCCACCAAGGCGACGAUCCAUAGCUGGUCUGAGAGGACGAUCAGCCACACCGGGACUGAGACACGGCCCGGACUCCUACGGGAGGCAGCAGUGGGGAAUAUUGGACAAUGGGGGCAACCCUGAUCCAGCCAUGCCGCGUGUGUGAAGAAGGCUUUCGGGUUGUAAAGCACUUUCAGUGGGGAGGAAAUGGCGAGGUUUAAUACGCCUUGUCUUUGACGUUACCCACAGAAGAAGCACCGGCUAACUCCGUGCCAGCAGCCGCGGUAAUACGGAGGGUGCAAGCGUUAAUCGGAAUUACUGGGCGUAAAGCGCGCGUAGGCGGCUGAAUCAGUCGGGUGUGAAAUCCCUGGGCUUAACCUGGGAACUGCAUUCGAUACUGUUCGGCUUGAGUAUGGGAGAGGGCAGUGGAAUUCCAUGUGUAGCGGUGAAAUGCGUAGAUAUGUGGAGGAACACCAGUGGCGAAGGCGACUGCCUGGCCCAAUACUGACGCUGAGGUGCGAAAGCGUGGGGAGCGAACAGGAUUAGAUACCCUGAUAGUCCACGCCGUAAACGAUGUCAACUAGCCGUUGGAGGACUUGAUCCUUUAGUGGCGAAGCUAACGCGAUAAGUUGACCGCCUGGGGAGUACGGCCGCAAGGUUAAAACUCAAAUGAAUUGACGGGGGCCCGCACAAGCGGUGGAGCAUGUGGUUUAAUUCGAUGCAACUCGA